CCAAUUGUAGAAUUAAUCUCGCUAAAUAAAUAAGGCAGUAACAGAAUCAUUCCCCAGCAAUCGUAGCGAUGGACUUGGAAAAUGGAGGCCAUUUCCAUUGCGCCAUUGCUUCCUGCCUCGACUAGUCACGAGGGGGUUCAGGCCGCUCCACGGUGAAAUCAGGUGACAUCGGGUUCCGGACCUAACUGUGAACUGUGUGGUUGGCCAGCAGCUGUGAUAGAUACUUACCAUGGCGUGGCCGUUACGAUUUAAUAUAUCCCUCACUCUUACCGCAAGAAAAUGAAGGUUCGAAGAACGAUGCCUGGUGUGUUGUGCCUGCAGGUACGCAUGCGAGGCCAGUUCCAGUCAACCUCUGGGGCCUACCUGCUCCCUGGUGGAGGAAACGAAACGCCUCUUGACGCCUGAAGCAACCUGCAGGGUUUAGAGACCCUGGCAUACCCGCGGCCGCGUUCCUCCUUUGCUGACAAACAUUGAGCUAGGUGAGACUACAAUACGCACAGGCACAUGGUAGACGGUUGCUUAACUGCUCCCGUUUAUGAAGCUUCACCCUCCUUUUUUCUCAACUAAGUGGGCUUCCGCAUAUUCAUGCUCGCCAAUCCUUUCCCUUCUUCUGUUGCAUCGACCCCUCCAACGCAACCAUGACGCGUUCCGACGACGCGGUGAUGCACCAGCACCAGCACCACCACCAGGGCCCCGCCAGCGAAGGCCCGGGGCCCCCAAGGAGCCCCUCACGGGUACCGGUGCGUCACACAGCCAACACAGUCAGGAUGGGCCCAGCCCCUCCUCAGUUUGCAUCCGCCCCUCCCUCCUUUCCCCUUCCCAUCACACUCACGAAUACGGGACCACGUCCGGCCCCAGUCCCGGGGGGUAUGUAAACGGGGAUACGGGG
rnacentral:lncRNA from 1 species